GCGGGUGUGGCUCAGUGGUAGAGCCUCCUCUUCGUAUGAGGGGAGACCUUGGUUCGAUUCCCGGCUGCU
rnacentral:tRNA from 1 species